GCGCCGUUGAUGUAGUGGUAUCAUGUAAGAUUCCCCAUUCUUACGUCCCGGGUUCAAUUCCCGGACGGCGCA